AGUCGUAACAAGGUUUCCGUAGGUGAACCUGCGGAAGGAUCAUUAACAUGUGUAACGAAGAGUUUGAGUGGGGGUUAGUGUAGGAGGAGGGGAGAGAGAAGGUGGAAUGAAUGCAAGUUUAUUCAAGUGUGAUUAAGCGCAAGUCUGUUCACAUUUGAUUAGACGCAAGUCUGUUCCACCUUCUUUGUCUAGGUGUAAGCUUAUUCACCCCACCUUCUGGCUGCCCCAAAAACAUUAACAUACGAGUAAGGACAUUCAUACAACUACUAACAAUGGAUCUCUUGGCUCUC
rnacentral:misc_RNA from 1 species